AUCCAGCAAUGCCGCGUGUGUGAAGAAGGCCUUCGGGUUGUAAAGCACUUUUGUCCGGAAAGAAAUCCUUUGAGUUAAUACCUCGGGGGGAUGACGGUACCGGAAGAAUAAGCACCGGCUAACUACGUGCCAGCAGCCGCGGUAAUACGUAGGGUGCAAGCGUUAAUCGGAAUUACUGGGCGUAAAGCGUGCGCAGGCGGUUCGCUAAGACAGAUGUGAAAUCCCCGGGCUUAACCUGGGAACUGCAUUUGUGACUGGCGGGCUAGAGUAUGGCAGAGGGGGGUAGAAUUCCACGUGUAGCAGUGAAAUGCGUAGAGAUGUGGAGGAAUACCGAUGGCGAAGGCAGCCCCCUGGGCCAAUACUGACGCUCAUGCACGAAAGCGUGGGGAGCAAACAGGAUUAGAUACCCUG
rnacentral:rRNA from 1 species